GGCGGGCUCUCGUUUCCACUUCUGCGUUCUGCCCGUGGCAUCGUUU
rnacentral:sRNA from 1 species